ensembl:lncRNA
CUCUUGUGUUUCACAGUGCUUUCCCGCGAUUCUACUCCUGACCUACCACCGCUCCUGUCUGCUCUCUGAUCCCUGCCUGUCUGACUAUUCCCCCGGUUCCUGAUCCCUGCCUGUCUGACUCUCCUUCUGGUUCCUGAUCCUCGCCUGUCUGACUCCCCUGCCGGUUCCUGAUCCCCGCCUGUCUGACUACCCCGUUGGUUCCUGAUCCCUGCCUGUCUGACUCUCCUGCCGGUUCCUGAUCCCUGCCUGUCUGACUCUCCUUCUGGUUCCUGAUCCUCGCCUGUCUGACUCCCCUGCCGGUUCCUGAUCCCCGCCUGUCUGACUACCCCGUUGGUUCCUGAUCCCUGCUUGUCUGACUACUCGCCUGUCUACGAAAUAAACUAUUGACUCUGUUCCACGCUCGUCGCCAGCCUGUGCACUUGGGUUCAGCCAAACGCGCACGUUACACUCUCACUAGACUUUCUCCAGAUCUCUUGGACUUCUAAGCAGGAGACACCAUCAUUCAGAACCUGCAGCAGACCGGUCCGCGGGGCUUCCACUGGAGGAGGAGAUCACAAGGCCUUUGGACGGGUGACAGCUGGGGUCCCAACCCUACCCGACAACCUCCAGAGUUAGGAGGAAUCUAUGAUAGGAGGGGAGAGGACAUGCGAGGAGUGGACCCGGAGUUGCCACGAUGCAGCCCAACAGGCGGUCUGUCUGAAACACUUCCUCUGGUCUCAGUCCCCUCACAUGAGGCCAAAGGCUGGUGGCUAUGAACCAGUCAGGAAGGAGGGGCCAGUCAUCCAACCAGAUCCUAUUAAAGUUCACAUUCAAGGCCUUUUCAGAGUGUCUGAUUCCAUUUGACCAGAGACAUGGGACUACAGCCCCAUGAUGUGUGUUGACUGGUCCAUGCAGAACCGUGAUAUUCUACUGCCACCUAGUGCUGACUACGAGAAGUGGCAGUAUAGGCAGUGAAUAACGCCUAACACUCGCCCAACUAUGGUCCUGCCGCUACGACGUCUUCUCUCUUUCGGACUUCUUUGGGAAGAUGAAUGAAAUUUGAGCAGGCGUCAGUUCAAUAACUUUCCACAGUUGACCAAGACCACUUGAAGGCAGUCAAGGCAGAUAUCGAGGUCAGUUUCAGAGAUCUGGACAAGUUACCCGUCCCCGAUAGGUUGAUGGAGCCGCUCCAACAAGAUGCUGCCAGCAGUGAGGAGGCUAUCCACAGAGCCUCAUUGACCUCCAAAAAUGACGCCGAGGCAAUGGCAUCCUCGGGUUGCGGAGCGUUGUGGCCCAACCAUGGCUAGCGUUUCCCACAGUUUUGGGAGAGAUUCCACCUUUUGCUCCUCGCUUUCCCCACGUCCUAUCUUGUAGAGCAGGGCUUCAGCCAAGCUCUGCACAUGCUGUCAAAAUACCGCAACCGCCAAGACCUGUUCCAGCUGAUCUGAGCGUAGUCUCCACAAAAGGACUGUUGCAUUUAAAAUACAAUAUCUAAUUAGGCCUCGCACGUGCAAUAUGGUUCCUGAUAGUUAACUGUUCACUUGAUUAUUCAGGUUAUAGUGGUCCUCCGUCUCACUCCUACUCGUCCUCUGUACCACUUGUUGGAGUCAGCUAACGAAAAGACAAGACAACAUUCCUUCGUUUUUAAAUUUUUACUUGAAAGUCUUCAAACAAAAUACACGUCUUCAACGAUAUCAACUACGGUCUUACGCACGGUCAAAAACUGUGUAGCUUCCAUCAAUGUCAGACUCCAAACUGAAUUACGUUACCGCCGUUACCGUUAUAACUAUACAGUGGCGUCAUUACGUAAAAAUCCCAAAACAUAGAAAACAUAUGUACCAUUUAUACCUCACUAAAUUAUGCAUUUUAACAGUUUUACACAUUAUUAAUUAACAUAAAAUUACUAUUAGCAUUUUUUAAUCAUUUUAAACUAAAUAUUUAUUAUAAAUCAAUUAUCGGCAUAUUGGCUCUUACAUUACCCGGCCCCUAAUUGGUUAGGCAGGUGGACUAAGCAAUUACAAACAUUAAGCGCCAAAAUAAAACAAUGCCCAACUCAAACUGGUUUCUUGUGAUUCUUCCCUUUUUUAAAUGUUCUCUCCUGACGCUGCUUCUUCUAACAAACACAGUUUGUUAACAGGCCUUUCCAAGAUACUGGUCUUGGUCUUUACCUCACUCUUCGAAACCGCUCCGCUGGAGUCCGGUAAGGUUUCAACCACUCUCCCCAUGAGCCAGGAGUUUCGAGGUGAAGAACUGUCCACUAACAACACAACAUCUCCAGUAGAAAGGUUUCUUCGUGGUCUCGACCACUUCUGCCGCUCCUGGAGUAGUGGGAUGUACUCACGGGUCCAUCUGGUCCAGAACAAGUCUGCUAUAUAUUGGACUUGCUUC